AAAUGCUCCAUGGACAUGUGUAACAAAUUCUGAGUGGUUGAAAACAGGAAGACUCACCGGAAGUAUCGCCGAAGGAGGCCUUUUCGACAGGGCACGUGGCAGCAGGAGAAGUAUCCAGGAGCUGGAAAGAAGAGGGAAAAGAGACCUCGUGUAGUAACGGUGUGAGUACCCUAAACCAUCGUACAGCAGUAUAAUCAUCUAGAGUGAACCAUCUGUGAGCGUUUUGUGAGUUUGUGGCAUAGUAUGUGAGCGGCCCCACCGUGGAGGAGGAUUGUGGGUGAGCCGGGACCAGUGAGCGAGAGAGGAUGUUGGGCUGUUGUGGCGGCAACGUUUAAAUCUGAAUAUUCGUGGCUUCACGACUUCCAGGAAGAGUCUUUGGUCAGACGGGGUGUUGACCCUAAAUUCACCAGAGUGUGUGGAGUGCAGUGGGCCCGACGAAAUCCUGUGAAGGAAGUGAAUACCGAGGCGGGCGAAGAAAACAUCUCCAAUUAUAUGCCGUCGAUGACAUCCUGACCCUUCUUCCCCACGUGACGGUGGUGGGAAACAAUUUCAAAUCUCUUGACUUGUCGGUUGGUAGAAAGAAGAGGGAAGCGUUCGACCCAUCCAGUGUAGUACACCCCGGGUGAGACAACUUACCUGUGUGUGACGCCAGCGGAGGCCGUGUUCGGCCCAACGCAACAGUUUUCGAUCCGCCUCUCUAUCAGCAGUUGGUAGAAGCCUCAGAAAAGGAACGUCUGACGUCUAUUCCCUCGAAGGUCUGUGAGUUACAUCACUUCCUGUUUCCCUGUAUAUUCACCGUAAGCGUAUGCCCAAGUGAAGUCCCAGUUACAUUUGAUGUACUUACCCUAUGCCCAAAGCUAAAGCCAGCAUAUUGUGUUGUACACUCGCCUGUAUGCCCAGAGUGAAGUCCCAGUUAUAUUGGAUGUACUUACCUUAUGCCCAAAGCUAAAGCCAGCAUAUUGUGUUGUACACUCGCCUGUAUGCUCAAGUGAAACCCCAGUUGUCUUUCCUACGGACUUACUUGUGCCCCCGAGUGAAGAGCCAGCGGCCCCUCUGUCCACUAUCCGUGUCCAGUCCUGUUACACUUACCUUUAUGCUCUUGUGCAG
ensembl:lncRNA